GAUGAACGCUGGCGGCGUGCCUAAUACAUGCAAGUCGAGCGAACAGACGAGGAGCUUGCUCCUCUGACGUUAGCGGCGGACGGGUGAGUAACACGUGGAUAACCUACCUAUAAGACUGGGAUAACUUCGGGAAACCGGAGCUAAUACCGGAUAAUAUAUUGAACCGCAUGGUUCAAUAGUGAAAGACGGUUUAGCUGUCACUUAUAGAUGGAUCCGCGCCGCAUUAGCUAGUUGGUAAGGUAACGGCUUACCAAGGCAACGAUGCGUAGCCGACCUGAGAGGGUGAUCGGCUACACUGGAACUGAGACACGGUCCAGACUCCUACGGGAGGCAGCAGUAGGGAAUCUUCCGCAAUGGGCGAAAGCUUGACGGAGCAACGCCGCGUGAGUGAUGAAGGUCUUCGGAUCGUAAAACUCUGUUAUUAGGGAAGAACAAAUGUGUAAGUAACUAUGCACGUCUUGACGGUACCUAAUCAGAAAGCCACGGCUAACUACGUG
rnacentral:rRNA from 1 species